CGGCAUUCUGUCAACAUUUCCACUGAAUCACUUGGUAUGGCAAGUGAACGAAACCGAGGACCAAGGGCAUUAAAGCCAAAGAGCAAGGCUUCCAUUGAGGAUAGCUCGUCUUCUGUUAUUUGUAGAGAAGUUGAGUUAACUUCUAUUUUGCAGCCUGGCCAGUACAAUCGGCCUGAAUUUGUCACUGAUUAUGAGCAUGCUAAAUUCUUUGUCAUCAAGUCUUUCAGUGAAGAUAAUGUUCACAAAAGUAUCAAGUAUGGCGUCUGGGCUAGCACUCCUCAGGGAAAUAGAAGCUUG
rnacentral:misc_RNA from 1 species